UGCUAACCCUGACAGUAAUGAAAAGCAUUUAUUUUAAAAAAAAACUAAAUUUCUUGCCUUACAAAAGCGACCAACGGAAGCUCUUUGGAAGGCAUUAGAAAUUGUUUUUUUUAAAUAAAUCUUGUAAUGUAUGGCAGGAAUGGUU
rnacentral:sRNA from 1 species